AAACUCCUUCCUCAGGACCGUGGGAUGCGGGUGAGCUCUGACCGACCCUUCUGCCCCACCCCACUCCCCCGCAUCGCGGGUGUAACCGGAUGGCAAAAAUCAAAGCUGGCUCCAAUUUACCCCAGUUGUCUUCCUUUGAACACUCAUAAGGUUCUAAUCAUAUAUGCAAUGUUCUACAAAUGAGGCAACUCACUAAAGGAGGGAAACCAGUUCUAUGAAGGCGAUGGGAAACUACAAAUUCCAGACUUUAGUUGUUAUAUAUUGUAUAAAACUAAGGAAGAAAAAUGCUCAUGAUACAUAUCUGGCGGUAGAAAUACAUAAUAAUCAUGCAAUUCGAUAACAGAAAGAAUAAUUAUUUGACAAUAAACCCAAUGUUAAAUACAAGCAGAGUAAUAUUGUCCUAGUGAAAAAUAUAGCAAAUAAAAUGAUACUACAAAAAAACACUUAUGAAACUUCCUCUAUGUUUAGAACUUUUCCAUCGUGUUUUCCUUUUUAAUAAUUUGUGACCACUGAGAUAUGGUUAGUGAACAAGGCAGUCAAAACUUUUCUGUCUUGAUUUUCCUAUCCCAUAUCUACAAGUCCAAAAAUGCAAUUUGUAGUAACUGCACUUGAUGUUAGGAGGGUGAUUUUGCUGCUUGUUUGCUUGGAUUUUGCUCAAGACUUGAUUUUGCGUACCCUGACUCAUGCUGAAAUUUCUGGUGCAUGUGAGCAGUGAUUGUAGGGUCAUCUACUUAUUCUGUGUAAGAAGGACGGCUUUUUCAUCCUGAGGAUUCUGAUAGAAACAGAAAAGGGAUACUGUAGGAUAGUGACUAUUUUUCAAGGACUUUGGGCAUUCACUCCUUCAUUUAACUUCAGUGAGAACUGUGAAAACUCAGUAUUAAAAAAAAGAGCCAAUUUUUCUUUAGAAAGUUAAGUUGACUUGUGUAUCUCUGGCUAUAAUAAAUAGUAAUAUUC